rnacentral:lncRNA from 1 species
CUGCAGAGAGCACGGUGACCAUUGUCUCUUCUCGGUAGAAAAUACAAUCCUGGGUAAAAUAAAGUUUUUCAUUAGAAUAGGAAAAAAUAGGAAAUGCCGACCAAGAGGAGCAGACAGAACGGGAGCCAGGGCUGGGGCUGGGGACUGGGAGUAGCCGAUGGGGAUUAUGGGAAUGAGUUUAGAGUACAGGCGAAGAUAAGGAAGUCUAAAUCUUCCAGCAGAAUGAAGACGGAGCCAGAGGCACGACACACAUUUUUUUUUUUAAAGAUUGUAAGGAGUGAGAUCAUUAAACCAGUCACCAGGGCUUCCUAGAGAUAGUGGCAGUCAUUUAAUGAGAGGCCCAGUGUCGCACAAAUCUAAAUUAAUUCUUUGCUUGGCUGUUCCCGGGAAAGGAUGAGGAAAUGUUUGCCAAAGUAAAAGAGAACCAAAAUAUUUCUUUUUACAGAAGCAAAGCGCGCGCGCGCGCGCGCGCGUGUGUGUGUGUGUGUGUGCGUGUGUGUGUGUGUAGUAUAAGCAGAACCUGAGAGAGUGUAAAUCAGGAGUAUCGCUGUCGGCUUCCGCUGUCACCCUGAUGCGAACCUAAAGCCACCACUGUCACCAUGAUGCGAACCUAGAGCCACCGCUGUCACCAUGAUGCGAACCUAGAGCCACCUGGGAAGAGGGAACCUCAACUGAAGAAUCACCCAGAAGGUGAGUCAUUUUCCUAACUGUUCAUUGAUGUAGGAGAACCCAGCCCACUGUGGGCGGUGCCAUCCCUAGGCAGUGGGGAGGGGGUGCUAUAUAAGAAGGGUAACUGAGUAAGUCAGUAAAUAGUGUUCCACCAUGAUCUUUGCUUCAAUUCCUGCCUCCAGGUUCCUGCCCUGCUUGAGGUCCUAUCCUGACUUCCCUCAGUGACAGUCUGUUACCUCAGCGUGUAAGAUGAAGUCAACCCUUUCCUCCCCAAGUUGCUUUCAGUAACGGUGUUUAUCACAACAGUAGAAUCAUCAGGGUUAGCAGUGGAGGGGAGCAGUCCCCAGCCAUCUCACUGACCACCAAGUCUUGUCUCCUUGAUGGGACUUCAGCAGCCUUGGCUGUAAAAUGGGAAGAGACACUCGUCACAAGCCCCAGGAGCAUAAUGAGGUGGAGGUCUGAAAGGCUCAGGUCUUGUCACAGCCCAGAGCCACCAGCCAGGAAGCUGUCUCAGGAAGGUGGCAAUUCAAAUAGAAACCUCACCUUUAAAACCAGAUGCAGGCUGUUCAGAGAACGUGGACCUAUGUAGCCCAGAAGGAAGGAAAAAAAUUACCUCAAGAAGCCACUGAGCUUGGAACAUGUGGCCCAAAAUUGAAAUAAACCCAGAAGUCAUGGCUACCCUGAGGGUUGGGUUGAGAAGGUGAAGUCUGAAGGAUACAGGGUGAAGGAUAAGGUUGCUAAGCAACACAUCCUGAUACUAGAGUUAGCAGAAAUGACCUGGGAACCAGGGCAUCUGUAAAAUCUCACUCCCAUGCUGCUUCAAGGUCACCGGAAGGCAGACCCACCACAGCCACCUUGGGGGAACAAUCUAAGAAAGCAGAUACAUCCUUGCCCACUGGGAGGACGGACUCAGAAUGUCCUGCAGACCAGCCCCGAACUUACUGGAUCUUGGGUCCUUUUAUGG